AAGAUCCUAGCUUAAUUAAAGCAUCUGAGUUGCAAUCAGGGGAUGCAGGGUAAUGUCCUGCGGAUUUUA
rnacentral:tRNA from 1 species